CCCCCCCCGGCAUUGCUGUCUACUUUAAAUAGUAUUGUGGUGGUGAACAUGGUACCUAAUGAAUGGGGAGAGGGUUGGAAGCAUCGCUGUCUCUGAUUUUUAAUCUUUCUUUCCAUAGUCCGUUCUUUUAUCCUUCUCUUUGGGAGUCGGGUGGGGGUCUGGAUAGGGGCCGCAAAAGAGAAUUAAGAUUUAUUUUAAUUCUCUUUAGUUAAUUUGAAUUCUAAUGCAGUCUGCAAACGUGAUUUUCUGCAUGGUCAUUUAUUUCCAAAGGCAUCCCCCAGUGUUGUCUUUUCUAGGUUCGGUAUCUUCUCCUUAUGUCUAGAGGAGAUUUAACUUUUGAGGCUAUCCAUCCUUCUUAAAAAAAAAAAAAAAAAAUCUAAUUAGCAUUCUUUAAAGUUAUACCUCCUUUUUUUUUUUUUUUUUUACACCCCCCCCCUCCCCCCUUGUUUCCUGCUGGGUUGAAACGGAUUGAAGCACAUCCACGGUUUCUCAGUAUAACCAAACUAGAGUUUGGGAAUUUUUAUGGCUUGGCUGGCAAUGUUGAGUGUUGUUUUUUUUUUUUUCCCCCUUCUGUGCUUGACUCUGCUUGCAAGCAAUGAGGAAUGACAGGAGAGCACAUAGGGAGGGUUUCUUGGCUGAUUGCAUUUAAGCCAGGAAUUCACUGUGAAAAUAAAGCCAAGGGGCGAUAAAUAAAAGAUGCAAUCUUCUCUAGGAGACAGACACACAGCGUGGGCUUUGCCUGCUUUCAUCAGUGAAGAGGCCUGGGUGAGUUGUAAAAGAAAAUAGUAACUUUUUGAAUAGUCCCCAAAGGGGAGGGAGGCCACUGAAUGGAGUUGGCAGUAGUUGAUAUGAAAUCGUAUGAUGCUGUUUGCAUAGCUUGAAGAGUUGACCACCCUUUCGGAAACACUUACAUACGUGCUAAACAAGUGCUGUACAAAUUGUGGAAAAUAUUCUUUUUUCCCCUCUGAGUUGUGCCAGUUUCCUUAACUUCCAAGUUGUAUUACUUGUUGUGCCAGUCAGCUUAUGAGAUGGAAGGCUGUUAAAUGCCUGGCAGCUGGCUCUGUGAGAUAGAAAACUCAGGACCAGGAUUUCUUUUCCUUGAUGAAGAACAGAGAGAAUGGCUAGAUUAACCAUCUAACUUAGCUUUAAGUGGUGGUUUGAAUUGGUAUACUAACACAAGAGACUUAUUUUAUAAUUUUUCGAUAUGAGGUAGAAGUCAUUUUUGCUUCAGAACGUGACAUGGAAAAUAACACCAUAUACCAUGAUAGAACCAUAAGCAAUAUUCUGGUAUUCCAAAAUUACAAGUUUGUUUGUACAGGAAGUAUUCACUGACUUUUGUAGAGAUGACUAAAUUAUAGAUGCAGCAGGGAAAAUCUAGUUGUUUGACACUGUUGAAGAUUUUUUUAAGUAUUGAGGGUCAAUGAAUUGGGACUUAUCAGAAAUUAAACAUGUUUAUUAGUUAUUUUUAAACUCCUAUUUUAAGAAGAAAUUUAAAGGGAAAAAAAUUAAGUCUUUGAUGUAGUAGUUGUAAUAGUUGUAAAUGGUAUUUAAUUGGUGCAGAACUGUCCAUCAGUUAAUUAUUGGAAGUUUUGGAGAAAGUGUAGUUCGCUAAUUUUUUAUUGAUUGAUAUUAUAUCAAGAGAGAGUCAUUGCUGAAGGUACUUGUAUGUAAAUAUUAUCGACACCACUGAAGUAAUAAUUUAGAAGGCAUGUAAAAAAAUUUCCCCAAAGUUUUGCCUGGGAAAGAGAGCUUUCUUAUUAUGACCUGAAACUCAAAUUUUAAGGACAAAUAACUUGAAUUAAAAGACAGACAAAUUUAAUUGGAUAAAAAAACCUAAAAAUUUCUGGAAGACUGAAAACGUGAUAAAUGAAGUUAAGCAGCUAACUGGGGCAAAUAUUUGCAGCAUGUUGGAGGCUAACGAGAACUCUGAAAAAUUAGUUUAAAAAAUAAAAGGGAGGGAUGAAUAAUUUAGUUAAAACACGGGCAACACAUUUCACAAAGAAAUGUAAAUGAUCAAUUUGUCUUCACUCUUGUUGUUAGUAAAGGUGACAGGCCACGUUCUUCUGCCACAUCGGUGAAGACAAAAAAGAUGGGUAGAUAGCACCCAGAAUUGGCUGAGGAGGUGGGAGAAGAUGCUGCCUCCCUGGUUCCUUGGCUCUGUCUUUUUAUGUCAUUUCUAGGAAUUUAUUUUCUACAUUCAUUGAUAUUCAUGCACAAAGAUGUUCUGUACGUUGAGCAAUGCUCAUUGCAGUAUCUGUAAUACUGAAAAGCUGGAGUCUGUGGAAAUUUCCAUCUGAAGGGAACUGGUUAAGAAGUACUCUAUGGAAUUCUACGCAACCGUGAAAAACAGAGAGAGAGAUAAAUAUAUAUACUGAUAAGAAAAGGUGACCAGAAUAUUUUAUUUAAAAACAAGUCAGCUCUUCAUACAGUAGGCUGUAAUUUCUGUUUAAAACAAAAAAGAUAGACUUACAGAUGCAUAAAAAUUUCUGGAAGGCUACACAAGCAACCACUGAAUAGUGGUUAUCUUUGGAAAAGGGCAGUCAAGUGGAUGGGUGUACUUUUGGGGGGGGUUACUUUUCAUUUUAUGAUUGUCUUAUGGUUGGAUUUUUCUAAGAUCAGAAGCGCUCAUUUUUGUAAUUAAAAAGUCUUAGAAAAAUUAUCUUGUGUUUUUCAAUUUUUUGUUUGUUUUGCGGUGUGUGUGUGUCCUCUUUCGGAAAAUUGGUAUACAUUUGAUUUUGUAUUGAAACAAACAAGUUUGCUUAAUUUGUGACUAAUCAGUUUAAAAUAAGUAUUUAAACAAAACUGGGAUCUUGCCUUUAGUAUGGGCAGGAAGAAGAUAAAUUUUAAAAGGAGUUGCUUUUUUUUGUUUGUUCUGUUUUGUUUUGUUUUGCUGGUUACUUUUCGGAGAAAGGAAUAUUCCCCGGAAUUCUGUUAACACUUUGGUAAACAUUUUUUUAUGGACUUUUUAGAUUCAUAACUUAAAAUUUCUUGUUUUAGGGAGUGGCAAGGCAGUAAAAGGGAAUCUGUUUUAGAAUUAGGUUGGAUAAAAUUUUUAGUCACUUUAUUUAAGGCUAAUUUGUGGGCAUUUCUUUGAGUGUUUUGGUUUUCUUUAUAGACCAGAGAUUGUUAUAUGAAAGUAUGAUUCUGGGUACACUUUCAGAAUGGGAUGUUUUGUUUACUGUUGAUAGUAUAUUUCAUUGAAAGCAUUUUCAAGAGGGAAGUGAUAAUAUAGAACAUUUAAAAAUUAGAUCCUAUGUUUUCUUCCUUUUGAUUAAUGAAAAAGUACACAAAACAAAGUUUGAAACUAGUUGCAUAUGUCUUCUUUUAUUCUGUGCCAGUUAAAAUGUUUGAUUUGCUUACAAUUGAUUUUUGAAAGUAUCUGAGUACUUAGUAUGUGCUCAGCAUUGUUCUGAGGAAGGUUAAAAUUUCAAUUUUUUCAAUUAUAUGUGGGGAAAUCUUGGAAUUUCCAUCUCUGGUGGCUAGUAUUGGUCCAGUGAGGAAAUCUAAAGUGUUCAGGAAACAACAAUACUUGUAGCCAAAAGAUUUCAAUAAGAUGGAAGGUGAAUUGCAGAUCUGAAUUAAGCAAACAUUUUUACUAUUGCUUCAGGCUUUAAUUUCUUGCCAUACAGUUAGUUGUAUUCUGAGUACACCCUUGGGGUGAGGAGGAAAAGGCCAUCCCCAUUAUUUUAUUUCAACUGUGCAUUGAAUUUCGUCCUUUCUGUAAAGACUUUGAUGCCUUUCCUUUUAGAAACAUCAGGAUGACUGUGGAACAUGUCCUUUAAUAGAAGAAUUAUUGCAAUUAAUUGACCAACUCAAGUCAUUAUUGUCUUAAGUAUGUUCUGGCCGAUUUUUAAGAUGUUUAUCCUGGGCCUCUUUUCUUUUCACAAUGGGUAAUCAAUUGCCAUCAAUUCUAACUCUAAAUGUUUCAUUUGUGUUUCAUGAGCAGGCCAGCACAUCUUUUCUGGUCACACUCAUAUUAAGGGUUUAGUUAAUGUUUGAUUUCAGUGGGCAGUAUGUUCAGUGAAAAGGAUGGCAAUGGAAGAAUACCAAUGUUGUCUUUUAAGAAAGCAACCCCUUUUAAAAGUUACACAAUUGGGUCUGUAGUAAUUCCACAUGCUUACAUGCUCUGUUUUUGUGUUAGAAAACCGUUUUUCUUUAAUACUUCAAAAUGAAUUUGGUACCUUUAAGAAGCUUUGUUACAUACACAUAAAAUUAAACAAAACUCCUGUGGUGUUAGCAGUUUUUAUAGGGGUGGUCAUUAAACUUGAACUGUUGUUGACCUUCAACUGUUAUAUUUAAGGGGACAAAUAUCCUAGAAAAGAAAGAAGAUCAUAGUUAACUAUAAACAUCUUAGAAACAAAGCAGAUUAUAGGCAACUGUUUUUUAGGUGACAAUAAACUAUGUGGGACUCACAAAACCAUUUUUAGUUAUCUUUCAAAUUAUUGUGUAAUCUCAAGACCAGUGCUUUUUCACAACAAAAAAAAACUAAUUUAAUUUUCUUGGUUUAUUAAUUUUUUGACAUGUGUAAAUAUUUGGGGAUUACAGUAAAUUAGAAAACAUAAACAGUUUCCUUUAAGUGGAUAGGAAGACUCUCCAUCUCCUUUUGAAAAAUCAGUCUCAAGUGGUAAUUUGGAGAAAAAUACUACAUAGUCUUGUCUCAUGAAAGGAGACUCUAGUUUCUUAGUCCUAGCCAGUCUCACAAAUAAAGUAUGUUGGUUUAAAAAACAUAUCUUUGCAGGGGCACCUGGGUGGCUCAGUUGGUUGGGCAUCUGACUUGAGCUCAGGUCAUGAUCUGGCAUUUGUAAGUUUGGUGAGUUUGGUAAGUUCAAGCCCGGCAUUGGGGCUCCCCGCUGAUAGCUCAAAGCCUGGAGUCUGCUUCGGAUUCUGUGUCUCCUUCUUUCUCUGCCCCUUCCCCACCUGUGCUCUGUGUCUCUCUCUGUCUCUCUCAAAAAUAAAUAAAUAAGCUUAGGAAAAAAACCCCCAUCUUUGCAGUUUUUGCUUUCAGUGCCAUGUGUUCUGCUAAGAAUAUGCUUUAAACAUGGUUUUUAGUUCUUUAAAAAUAGGAUGCUUCCUUUUAUUUUUCUCAUCUAGAAAAGGUAGUUAAAGUAAGCUUUAGAGAGAAAGCAGUGCAAAAUCUGGUUUUCAUUUGAAAUUUAAAGAUUGACUUUCAGCAAAUAGUAAGUGGACUUUGGUAAGGGUGUGCUAAGUGAUUUAUAUUUGUGGGAUUCCUCAGUGAUAAUUAGAUUCGGGUCAGUUAAUAUGUAUUGUAUAUAUUUACAUAUAUUUACUUACGUAUUUGUAACUAAUUUGAUGUUCACAAGUGCACAUAAAAGGAGAUGAACUCAGUGUCAUUUGGGUAUCAUUACCCGAAGCAUAUUUCAGUGACCCUGUGUAUAGAUACAUUGUGCUGUUUCUUCUUAAAAUAUGCUAACAGAUGAGAAGCAUUUUGUUUUUACAAAAUGCGUUUGUAUGAUAGUUAUUAUCUACUUGUAGAGCUGAGGCGCAGACAUGUUGAGUAGUUUGUCCAGAGAGGGGUAAUAAAUUGCAAAGUUAAAUGUUGAAUUUCUGUUUUUCCUCCCUUCAGUCUGCCUGUUAAUUUGCUGGAGAUGUUUGGUGAAUUCCACAAACCCCCAGAACUCUGCGUAUUCUUUUUAUUUUUUUUAAAGAUUUUUUUUUUUUUUCUUUUUAAGUUAUCUCCACACCCACUGUGGGGCUUGAAUCCACAACCCUGGCAUCAAGAGUUGCAUGCUCCACUGACUAAGCCAGCCAGGCUCCAGGCUCCAGGACAAGUCUUUUUUUUUUUUUUUUUUUUUGAGCUUAUUUAUUUGAGGCACCUGGGUGGCUCAGUCGAUUGAUCGGCUGACUUCAGUUCAGGUCAUGAUCUCACAGUUCAUGGGUUUGAUCCCCAUGCUUUGGAUCCUUUGUCCCGCUCUCUCUCUCUGCCCUCCCUCGCUUGAACUACUCUUUCUUUCAAAAGUAAGUAUUUUUGAGAGAGAGAGGGAGAGAGAGAGCAUGGGUGAGCGUGAGUGAGGGAGGGGCAGAGAGAGAGUUGGAGAAGGAGAGAGAGAGAAUCCCAAGCAGGCUAUCAGUGCAGAGGCACAUGCAGGGCUCGAAUUUACAAACCCUGAAAUCAUGACCUGCGCCAAAAUCCAGAGUCAGACGCUUAACCGACUGAGCCACCCCACAUGCCCCAGGCCAGGCAUAUUCUUGAAUGUAAAAUGAUUGGAGUGUUGGAGAGAUUAUUUGGCUAACAUUUUACUGAAUGUUCUAAAAGUAUUUCUAGAUAGCAUUUCAGUUUCUGGUGGAAAUCUAAUGGCUUCAGUUAAGCAAUGAUUGUAGCUUGCUGAAUACAUGCUAGUGUGAAAAUAUUUGUAGACAUUUGGAAAUUGUAGAGGUUGUAGGGUGAGACCAAAGUUCUGAAGAAGUUAGACUUUUAACUGUAUGAAACUACAUUACAGUUGUGUGAAUAUACAUGAAUGCACUCCUAUACCUGUACACCUAUGUAAUAAAGAAUUUACUAAAUGUUUAAAAUGCUUGUGCAGAACAAGAGAAGUUAAUACCCAGUAAGAAAUUUGGCUGCUCUGAAUUUAGUACAUUUGUGAAAACUUAACCAGUGUCUACAUUUGACUUAUUUUUGUAGGCUUUUCCAGUGUUUUUGUCAGAAUCCCCUACCCUCAUGCCAGUAAAUAGUAUAUAAACAGUCCCUAGAUGUAUGGGAUCUUUCAUGUAAUUGAUGUGGUCUCAGAACUUUAGUAACCUCUCUAAUUCCUAAAGACCUCUUGUUUGGGUGGCUUUUCUUUAUCGAAGGAAGCAUGAUUUACGGUGAGCUUUUUAAUAUUACUGCAACAACAUUUACUAACUAAUAAUCGUAGUUAACACUUUCAUACCCUUAACCUUGUGCCAGAUACGGCUCCAAGCACUUUAUAUUUCUUAACAGUCCUAUGAGGUAGGUACUUUUAUCAUUCUCAUUUUACAGAUGAGGAAACUGAAGUAUUGGAAAAAAAUGAAAGUGACUUUGCCCAUUUACACAGACUGGUACAUUACUGAGCCAGACACAGCCUCUCUGGGUGGUACUCUUACCCUCUAAGUAAUACUGCCCACGAGGGGCGCCUGGGUGGCUCAGUUAGUUGGGCCAGUUAGUUGGUCUGACUUAGGCUCAGGUCAUGAUCUUAUGGUUGGUGGGUUCGAGCCCUGUCUCCAGCUCUGUGCUGACAGCUCAGAGACUGGAGCCUGCUUCGGAUUCUGUGUCUCCCUCCCUUUCUGCCCCUCCCCACUCACACUCUGUCUCUCUCUCAAAAAUAAGUAAACAUUAAAAAAAAAUUAAAAAAUUUUUAAUGCCCAUGAUGCAUCAUCAUUAACUAUUCUAGAGGGUUCAUCUUUAGAUCUAUUAUAGUCUUUUCUACUUUAUAGAGUGAUUUUCAUGGUGGCCAGAAUUUUAAAUUAUCACAACUGUGAUUUUUUUUUAAGGUUUAUUUUAUUUUGAGACAGAGAAAGUGAGUGCGAGUGGGGGAGGGGCAGAUUGAGGGUGGGAGAGAGAGAAUCUGGAACAGGCAUUGUACCAUUAGUGCAGAACCCGAUGUGGAGUUUGAAUGCAUGAAUCAUGAAAUUAUGACAGCCAAAAAUCAAGAGCUGGAUGCUCAACCGACUGAGUCACCCAGGCUCCCACAACUCUAUGAUUUUUGAAAAAAAAUAUUUAUUUUUGAGAGAGAGAGCACCAUUGGUGGAGGGGCAAAGAGAGAGAGAGAGGAGGACAGAGGAUUCGAAGUGGGCUUUGUGCUGUGCUGACAGCAGUGAGCCCAGUGCAGGUCUCUGACUCAUGAACGAAUGGAACCAUGAGAGCGGGACCUGAGCCGAAGUCGGACCCCUCACCAUCUGAGCCACCCAGGUGCCCAAAGCUAUGAAUUUUAACAUGUAUUUUAGAAUUUGACUUGAAAAACUGCAUUUCACAAAUUCCUCUUAUGAAUGAAUUUCAGCUUUGGAAGAUGGUUGUGUGGGGUGAUUUUGAUCAUCUUCCAUUGGGCAUUUUUUAACUUUUUUUAAAAGUUUAUUUAUUUUGAGAGAGGGAGAGAGAGCAUGCGUGCAACAUGAGUGGGGGACCCCGGGGGUGGGGUGGGGGGAGACAGAGAGAGAGAGAGAGAGAGAGAGAGAGAGAGAGAGAGAGAACCCCAAGCAGGCUCUGUGGCCAGUGUGGGGAUCAGUCCCACAAACUGUGAGAUCAUGACCUGAGCUGAAAUCAAGAGUUGGUGGCUGAACCGACUGAGCCACCCAGGCACCCUCCAUUUUUAACUUUUGAAAGAGGAAUUAACUUGUAGGUUAGAUCUAAAUGUGGUAUAUAUGAGGCAAAGGUAAUCUUUCAAGGUAAAUUUUAGAAAUUCUGUAUUUAUCUCAUUUUAAGGCCCCUUUUAAAUGUUUUGAUUAAAAAUCAUUAUUUCUUGUGGCUGGUAAAAAGAUUUCAUAUUCUUUGAGAGGCAGAGAGUUCAUUGGAAAGAUGUUAAUUUGAAGGAUGCAGUAGGACCUGUCAGUACAUUUAAACUGGUACUAACUGAAUAAAGUGAUCAGAUAAAUUGGAAGCUCAUUUAGCGAAUUAAUGUGCUUAAAUUCAGGUGACUCACUGCCUGGUCCUGCCUUAUUUACCAGUCUCCCUGUUUACUUAAUGCAUUUUUUAUUGUUAAUUGGUGUCAGAUCUCUAAUGAUGGAAGAUAUUAUACUGAAAAUAAGCAUAGGAAGGUAGCAUGUAGAGUGAGUCCACAAAAGCAAGAUUUAAAUUCUCUUAAUUAGAUCAGUACAAUUUAGAAUGCUAUAUGUGCCACAUUGUACCUGUUAAAUAUUUGCUAACAGUGACCAGCAUUUUUAUAAAUGAAAUAUUGAUGUUUUAUAAUUUCAGUGUAUGGGCAGAGCCUGGAGCCUCUUCUCGUGUUGUGUUAAUCUUUCUUGGUGACGGCCUGCCGAAGUUAUACUCAACCUUUGCUCCUGCUAUAGCUUGAUAUUAACCAAUUUCCACAGACAAGAUGGUCAUGGUUUUCAUAAAUAUUUGUCAUAAUAUAAGCCCCUAAAAUUCAAAUACCAGAAAUUUGUAAUCUUAUUGGUGUAUGUGAAGGAGCAUCUUUUUUUAUACAUUUGCAUUCUUUCUUUAGGACUUUGCUUUCUUAGCACUUCUUGACACUUCUGAUUUUGUACUCUUCACACUGUCUUUUAGGCCACCCCUUCCCUGCCAGUCACCUAUGUGUUUUUUUUCUUCUACUUUCUCUAGACCAUGGUAAACCUGAGGACUGAAAUAAAUGACCAGUGGCUGGUUUGUGAUGAUGGUAGAAUCAAGUGAGAGAAACCUGAGAGUAGGAGGUGGCGGAGCCUCUGAACCUUCUUCAGCGCUUCACUGUCUUCCUCCCUUUCUCCCCUUCCCACACUUCCUUCUUGUCUUUCCUCCUUUCUUGAGUGUGGGAGAUGGAGUGGUGGGAGUGAGGAGUAGGAGGGAGUGGUAGGAAAAAAGGCAAGAAAUCUGGGAGAGGUAGAAAAUACCAGCUGAGAGCUUAUUCUGUUCCCUUCCUUCUCUGCUUUUAGUUGUCUCCUCCCCUUAAACCUCCCUUGAUUUAGGGAAAUAAAGCUGAGGUCACAAGGACCUAUGUGUUCCAGCUGCUGCUUGGCUGCUAUUUUUAGCCUGGCCCUGCAUCAGGCUGGCACCGGGCCAUGAUGGCACAGGGCCAGCACGUUGUGGGACUGCUGGCAAAUGUCAAAAACCUAACUUUUCGGUUAUCAAACUGAAAUUUCAGAUAUAUUCUCCACGAUGAUACUCUACUUAUCUCUACUUUUUUGAAAUGGGACAUAUAUGUUUAUUUUUAGAAAAGAUUGAGUUUUGACAGUGGUCAUCAUACUACUAUAACUAUUUUAGACAGGAGGAAGAUUUAAGAAUUGCACUAUCGGGUCAUUGUUAUAUCCUGCUCAGUAAUUUUGGUUUUGUGGUGGCACCAAGAAGUGUGAAAUUUGCCCGACCUAUUUAAUAUGUCUUGGGCAUCUUUUUAAAAAAAUUUUUUUUUUAAACAUUUAUUUAUUUUUGAGACAGAGAGAGACGGAGCAUGAACGGGGAAGAGUCAGAGAGAGAGGGAGACACAAUCUGAAACAGGCUCCAGGCUCUGAGCUGUCAGCACAGAGCCCGAUGCGGGGCUCGAACUCAUGUACUGCGAGAUCAUGACCUGAGCUGAAGUCGGCCGCUUAACCGACUGAGCCACCCAGGUGCCCCUGGGGCAUCUUUUAAAAUUGCCAUUGCUGUUGAAGUUGUAGAGUCCGAAUUGGUUUAUAUAAUUAUAGGUGUCAUCAGGCAUUUUUAAAAAACAUAUGUACUGUUUUUUUCUAUAGCUGUCAGUGUUCUCUUUGCUAAUUCGGUUGUGUGUGUUUAGGUUUGGUUAAUACUGUAGAAAUAUGUUUCACAAACAAAAAACUUACUGUUUAUUUUCAUGGGGAGCAGCUAGGUUUCUGGAAUAUCAGUGUCUUUGUAUAGAUUUACCCAGUAUCAUGUGGAUUUUCUUUGCAAACUGAGUUUUAAAUUUUGGAUGCACAUGUGGAUUUCAGUACUUACCUGGUUAUUAGUUGCACUCAAAAUGAAAAGUAAGUUGUAUUUUUUCUUGAAUGCCGUUUUGGAAAAAAGUAAAAAAAAAUGUUGGAGUGUGAAUCUUUAUCUUUGGAAGGGACUUUGGUAAGAACUGUUUAUAUUCUUUCCACAGUGGUACGUAGAAGAGCUUGAGGUUAUUCUAGGUAUGAUUUUCCAUUUACCAUGGACUACAGUGAAUAUGAGUAGAACCAGAGAUGAUGGUUAUUCAACCUUAUUCAAAGAGUAGUAAUGCUGUAAUAUACUUAGGUCUUUUGAAUGGCAGGAUAACAUUUAGUGCAUUGAUCUGAUGUCCUUCUUAAAGUAGCACAGAAUUUUUGGCCAAAAUAACUAGAAAUAGAGUCUGAUUGAUUUUUUUUUUCUUCACUUUAUCUUUAAGGCAGUUAUUGGAUGAAUUCUGCUGAAUUCAUUUUUGUGAAAUAAGGAAGUUUAGGUGAGGGAUUUAGUGAAAGGUGAAUUUGUGAUCUAAUAGCUUAGAGAAGGCAGAUAUUUUAGAGUUUAUUUACGUUUUUACAUCUUCAAGUUCUUUGUGGAUAAGAGCAAAUUGGGCAGCUUGCUGUUGCUGAUAUAAGAAUAAUUUACUUUUUUACUUGGUGAAAACAAAAAUUUCAUUAGGAAAUAUAAUCAGAAUGUCUUGGGGAUAGAUUAUCAAGUACAUUGAAUUCUUUAAAAAAAAUUUUUUUUAAUGUUUGUUUAUUUUUGAGAGAGAGAUAGAGAGAGAGCGAGCACGACCAGGGAAGGAGCAGAGAGAGAGAGAGAGAGGGAGACACAGAAUCUGAAACAGGCUCCAGGCUCUGAGCUGUCAGCACAGAGCCCGACGUGGGGCUCAAACUCAAAACCGUGAGAUCAUGACCUGAGCCGAAGCUAUAGACCAACUGAGCCACCCAGGCAUCUCACAAGUACAUUGAGUUCUAAUGCAGUGUAGUAGUUGUACCAUUUGGUUUCUUUCUGCAGUUAGUGGUUAUAGUAGGUAUUUCAAAGGUGUCUUAGAAAAAGACUAUUGAUCCAUAAACAUUAUGUAUGUCUCUGUAGGGGUAUGUGCGUGCGUGUGUGUGUGUGUGUGUGUGUGUGUAGAUAAUAGAUAAUCUAGAUCGAUUAUAUAUCUAUCUAUAUACAGUAAUAUGAUGUGUAGAACAUUGUAAUUUACUGGAUGAUAGUGUGUAAGUGACUAAGUUAUGGAUCCUUAAUGUAAUUUAUAUUUUAUUGAGGUGAGUCAUGUAAAUGAUGUCUGCACCAGGUCAGCUAACAAGCUUGAUUAAAACCAAAGCCCAGAAGGUAGUUUGACUAGUGCUGUUUAGACUCCUUAGGAGCAAAGUGCUCAAAUGACGUUCCUUAUUGGAACUUUGCUGGGGCAGUUUCUUUGCAGUUUUCAUGAAUCUCUAUUAGCAACUUACUAAAAAAGCAUUUUGUCUAGGCUGUUUCAUAAAUAGGAAAUUCCAAAGUACUGAACAGUAUUGCAUUUUUGCUUCCAAUAAGGAUGAUUGCAGUGGGAAAAAGUUUAAAAAACUCUUAUUUUAACGGUUUAUGGCAAAAUACUUCUAUUUUAAAAUGGAUAGAUUUAAAAAAAAUUUGUUUUAAUACUAAUUUGUUUCAUUUAUGAUUUUUCAAGUUUUUUUUCCUAGUUUAUAAGUUUAGAUGUGUUAGAAAAAAAUUGGUGAUACAAGAGCCAGUGAUUAUGAGUUUAUUAAAACUUCAGUGUAUAUAUUAAGCCUGAAUUUGUCUUAGUAGCUCAUAGUUUAGCUUGGUUUUUGGUUUUUGGUAAAUCCUGAGACUUCUGAGUUCUUGUGCUCCUCUGUGAAAUUUGUUUUUUGACAUAUAAAGGUAUGGUUUGUAUUUUUUUAAACGGGUGUGUGUGUGUGUGUGUGUGUGUGUGUGUGUGUGUGUGUGUGUUUGUGUGUUGGGGUCUUAGGAAGGAAUGGUGGUAGUGGUGAGCCAAGCUGUGGUGGCUUAAAGUCAGAAAAGCACAACAAUUUCAAGUAGCCAUGUUCAAAUAUACAAUAUUUAUUUCAAGAAUUUAUAUUUCUUUGGGUUGCACAUUUAUGUUGUCAUAUAAAAACUUAUUUUUUACUUAACUUUCCCUCUCCCCUAGUUCUUCCUGUUAAAAAUACUAACAAUUCAGAAGGUAAUCUAUGAAAGUUCAGUGUAUAUUGGUAGUCUGUAUUAUGAUAGUUUUAUGGAUGUAUUUUGUAUUGCAUCUUUAAAAGGCUAGUUUAAAGAAAUUUACUUCCUUGAGUUGCUCUUUCCCUCUUUGAUCCUUAACAAUUGUGGAUCAACUAUUUUUCUCUUUUUAGUUUUGCCUUUUUAAUCAUUUAGAAUAGAGCUUUGAUUCUCUUUCAAGAAGCCUUAUUUAACAAAUCUAGAAAAUUCUAUUGUGUCUUGAUUCUUAAGAAGCCUUACAUAAGAAAUCUAGAACUGUCUUGCUGUUUUUUAAAAAGAUAUAGUAAAUGGGGUACAUUUAAAUAAUCUGGUUUUCUUCCACUGAGAGUAGGUUGACCUUCUGAAAAUCUACAAGAGGUUGUUGUGGGGCCUGACACUGGCCUGAUUCAUGACCUUUUCCAAGCUUGAGAACACAACUGUGGAACUCAUCCUUAAUGUAAAUAUUGGAGGAAAUGAGAGAUGACUUAUGAGAAAUCAGAAAAUCUAAUCCUUUGUAGGAUUGCAGAUUUCUGUGUCUUUGAUAGAGGGAGCAACAGUUGGCUAUCGAAUGACUGAAAAUAUGAAGUGCCAACAAACAAAUGUAAAAAUAUUCUGCCGUGCACAGUUACAGAGUCAUUUUGAGUUGCCCAUUGUUUAUUUUUAGUCUUUUUCUUUGGGACGAGAAUCCCAGAGUAUUUAAAUACAAAGUCCCUUUUUGGUGUGAAAGAUGUAUCUGCUAGAUGGAAAAAAAAAGGUACUAGGAAAUUUAAAUUCAGGAGAGCCAACUAGUAAUAGUGCUCAUGCAGUGUACUUAGUAGACAUUGAAAUGUUGCUUGAAUGAAAUAAGCUUAGAUUUUAUGCCAGUCUUUGUGAUUGCCUCUAUGAAAUUCUCUUAGGUGAAAAAAAAAACCAAAACAAUCAAACUCCAUUACCCAACGUGACCCCAGUGCACCUCUUUUUGCCUAUGAGUCCUGUCCCCAUGCUUUAAUAAAAUCACCUUUUUGCACCAAAACAAAACAAAACAAAACAAACAAACAAAAAAAAACCCCUCCAAGUUCUAAUUUCUGUUUGCUUUUCUGAAUCUGAAUUGCUGUAACUUAAUCUCUUAAGAGGCAUUUUGAAUAGGAAUAUUACCACAAGAUAGAUAGUUUAAUUUUUAGGACUGGGCUUAUUAUUAUCAGCUUAUUUCUACAGAGAGAAAUAACCUCACAGAUGUAAGGUUUCUUUCUUCAGUUUUCUUAUUUGAGGGGACUUUUUCUUUAAGCUUGUUAACUUGUUAAUAACAUUGGCCAAAAAGCUGUUCUAAAAGCAGUUUAUUUGAUGAUUCCAGUCCUAAACAGAAAAUAAUUUGAGCAUUCCUGUAUAGAGCAGUACUUUUGAGUUACCCAAGAAAAUAACUUUCAAUUACAAAUGCCUUUGAGGGAUUAAGAGAUUGCUUUUUCCUUUUAUUUGCUAUUUCAUUUUUUAAAGAAACUGGCAAAAAUAAAUUUAAUUAGUUUUUUUUUUUUUUACUUUUUUUCCAGAUAACUUGCAAAGCACAUGUGACUUCAGAACAUCCCACAAAGUCUGACAUAUUGUGAAAAUACAUUGGCUAAUUGAUAGGAAUGGUUUAUUAAUAAACUGGUCUACAAAAUGCUGAUGACUUUCUCUUGAGGUAGAAUUUGCUUCAGACUCAGUUUUGCCUAAAAUGGGAUAACCAAGCAGUUUUCUGAAUAAUAAUUUGCUAAUGAACAUGUACUCCAAAUGCUUGGCUCACGAGAGGGGGAUGGGUUGUCCAGAUAUUGGGUGACCAUGUGUUUCCAUUUGUCCAGUCCACUGAAUCUUAGUUUAUGCCUCAUUUCCUGGCAUAAUUAUCAACAGUCCCCUCUUUCACUCUUGUAAGUGUUCCAGUUCAAAUUAUAAAAUAUACACUUACUGUAGUUGUAUAAAUACCUCGUUGUUCACAAAGGAUGGAGCAAUUAAGAAAUCAUUUUAAAAUUAUACUCUAUGUGAUUGCACAUGCACAUUCCAGUAUGUGUAGAGGGAGAGGGAGAAAGGAAGGGAGGGAAGUUGUUUGAGGAGUUGUUUGGGACCAGAAGGAAACCUUUUUGCUAUCCCUGGUCUUCUUAAUCAAUGACUCCACUCAGUCUCUUUCAGAUAGGAAAUAUUUGAUUUCUGUCUGGGUUUUUAGUCAUCUCAAAAGGAAACAAUUAAGAGAUUUUCGAACUCUUGGUUUGAUGUGUCUCGCCUUCACUGCCCCCCACUGUUUUUUUCAAUUUAGAGAUAUGUUAAUUUUCCUAUCCUUAUUUGAUGUCAUAGUAUUUUAGCAUGUUUAUAUUAAUGAUACAGUUCUAUUUGCACAUUUUCUUACCUUAGAUUGAUGUUCAGAGGUACUCUCAUUUUAGGUACAGGCAGUUGACCACUUCUGUGACUGUGUCAUUUGCUUAUCACAUGACCAUGAGCUUAGAGGGGAUGCCUAACUCAUCAGGAGACAAGAGUCCUCUGCUGGCUCUUGUCUUAACUACCUGUGUACCCUUAGGCAGAUCACUUACUGGCUCUGGGCUUCCUUGAAUCCUUACAAAAUGUGAAUAAUUAUACCUCUGUCACCUCUAUCGUGAGGCUGUUUAGAGACCCACAUGGAAAUGAAUACAUGAAAGUACUUGAAUUCUGAAUAGUUACACAGGAGGAAAAUACAUUGUUAUGCAGUGUUCCCAUUUUACCUAAUUUUCUCCAUUAUUUACCUAAUUUCUCCAAUUUACCUAAUUUUCUCCAUUAUUAUUUUCUUCUGGUUUUUUCUAUUUCCCGAAAACCCUGCAAUAAUCAUGUAUUGAUUUUGUAAUCAGAUAGGGGAAACAUUGUUUCAAAAAUUGCUUCAUUAACCAUUAAAACAUGAAGUUUUGCUAUCUGCAGAUUAAUCUCUAUUAAUAUUUUAUUAUGAUUGCAAAUGUUGCUUGAUCUAGUGCACGUAAACAGAAUAUAUGUUGGUCAACAAAGUAUGCCUUGACCUUGAUGUCAUACGCCUCUUUUGUUUUUGACCCGAUUGAUGAAUUCUGUCUUUACAUGGAACUCUAGAAUAAUUUCUUGGAAAUGGGAAGAGGAAUGUCUAAUAUCAAUUCAGUGAUAUUCAUGAGUAGAAUGGACAGUUUAUGGAUUAGCCUAGUGACUUGGGGUUUAGUUUCAAUGCUUCCCUGAAUAUUUACCAUAGGCAAGUGGAGAAUGGAAGAAGAUACAAAGCAUUCCAUUUCAGAUAUGCUUCUGAAUUUCUCAGGUCAUAUGACUAUGUACUGAGAUCUACCUUUCCUUCUUUUGGCAACUGGAAUCAAUAAAAAGAGUUGAUUACCCUUUUUUUCCUGAUUUAAACAUUUACAAAUCAAGUGUUGAGAAAAAUAGUUUCAAGUGAAAAUUUAAGAGCUUACUAUGAACUGACAUUUUGGGUGUUUUUUUUCCCCUCCUCAAUUCUAUUUUUAAGUAUCUCAUAAGUCUUGCCCUUGAAAGCUCUGCUGAUGUGACCUAUUUACCCCACUUUCUUUCUAGCUGUUCAGUGAACUUAAUGGCCUUUCUGCACUUCUAAUAUGUUCCACAGAGAUUUUUUAUUUCAAAGAAUAUUCUUGCUUUCUUUGUGUAUAUGCACAUGUGUAAGAGUGGACUUCAUGUGUUUCUAAGAGUAUUAGAAUCAGCUUAAACUUUGGACAGGCAAGCAUCAGCUCUUAACAAUCUGUAUUGCAGCCAGAAUGAUGUUGCCCAUUUGCUCCGUGUGUGGCCUCCCUUUGUGCAGAGGACUUAAGGUCGUUUGAGGGUGUGCAAGGCUUACCAUAAUCUGGCCUGUACUCUCAUCUGCCUCUUGCACAUUUUCUCCCUUGCCCUUCUAUUGCCUCCAAGCUGCCCUGCUAGCUGCCUUUGCCCAUGUUCUUUUUUCUGCUUGGAAUGCUCUUUUUGCCUGGUUCGUGCCUUAAUUGUCAUCUUGGCUUAGAGAAAUCUGGCAAAGGUUUCUCUGCUUUGUAACCAUAAUCACAAUUUCCCGUGUGAUUUUUUUUUUUAUUGUCUCCCCCAUUAGAUUGUAUGUGUGUGUCUGUAUGUAUGUGUACGUACUUUUGUAUCCAUAGUUCUUAGACAACCCUUUGCACGUACUCCACUCUCAGAAGUUUGUUGAAUAAAUGGAUGAAGGAAGUAAUAUUUUACUUUGAAAAUAUUUUCCUAACUCUCCAGGAAGAGGCACUGCUUUAACGCAGUGGUUCCAUCUACCUUCCAUCCCACACCUAUGCCACAAAGAAUGUGUUAGUUUGAAAAACAGCCCAGUUGUGUGUUUGUGGCUGCUUUGGGCCACUCCCAGAUUCCCCAGAGGUACAUUUUCAUGCGUCUCUGCUAUUACAGGGACUUUUCUUAGAAAAGUUUGAGAAGCUCCUUUAUCAGGGUCACUUGUGCUGGUAUGUGGGUUCAUAUGACUGAGAAAUUUACUUUGUCAUGUAGCACCUGGGAAAAUCCAAACGGCCAAAGGUUUUGAGUAGAUGGUAGGGCAUGCGGUUAGAGCAGGAGAUUCUCUUGCCCACGUGUGGGUCACUUCUUGUUUCCUUUUUUUGUCAGUUCUCUUGAACGGGCAGUUGUGUUUCAUCUUGAUGGGCAGGGCACUGGCUCUGGAGAGAGCUCAUGUGCAGGGUCACUGUGGGCCACAUAGCAGGUCUGCAUGCAGCAUUUUUUUUUUUUCUGUUUAUUAUUCUGUGCAUUCUUGCUUGUGCUUGAACCUCUGUUUUUUCCAGUCUAUUUUUUUGGUCAUGUUAAUCUUGGAAUCUUCAUGUUAGUUCAACUCAAAAGGAAUAGGCUGGAAUGAUGCAUCGAAGACCUAUCAAUUGCAUAUCUACUGCAUAAAGGUAUUUUUGUCCCAUUAAAGUGAUCUUGGACAAACUUGAACUUUUUUCAUCACCUUGUUUGGCAUGGUGGAGGGGGUCAACUCUAAUUUGAAACCUGUAUUCGUUCACUCCUCUAUGUAGUUGCAGCAUCAGAACAUCUACCACUUUUUCGGUACUGGUUUUAGUGCUCUGCAGGCAUGAUCUCCAGCUGUCAUAACAACUUUGAGAAGAACGUAUUCGCUUCAUUCGUGACUGUGGAAACUGAGAUAUGAGAUGCUAAGUCACAUGUCCAGGAGCCCUCAGCCAGUCUGUGCCAGACCAGGACACUCAGGCCUCCUACUUCUCAAGUGGGGUCUUUUCACUGUACUACCUUCUUUUCAUGUGUUGCUGCAGGCAGCUUGUCUUCCUGUAUGUGCACCAAAGAAGCCAUUGAGAGACCUUCUUGGUCUGUGACACCAUGCAAAAUUGGCUCCCUGACCUUUGAACGAUGGUCCAUGAUUUCUGGGAUCUGCUACAUUUUAUUUUUUAGGUUUUGAUAGUAGUAAUGGGUAUAUGACCCAUAGUAUCUAAUUGCUUCUUGGAGCUGGUACUAAACUCCGUUGCAUAUGACUUUUUUCUUUGUGAGCUUUUUAAAAGAGAGUUUCAUUCACAGCAUUUGAUGAUAUUAAUAAUUUGGCUUGAAACAGUUAUGUUUUCUCUUUCUUCGGUUCCUUGGUUUUAGUGGGAGACCUGGGUGCAAUGUAUGUAGGGAGAUACUUGAAAGAGAAGGAGGUAUAACAGAAGCUGUGUGAGGCUGCUGUGGUGCAACCAGCACUGUUAUGUGAAGGCAGCUCCGGGUGCUGGUGGGUUGUGUUAAUAGCCCUACUGAUGGAGAGAUUUAGCAGUUUGCUGAAGUGCUGUGAACAGUCUUUUCUUACUAAUAAAUUCUAGUCUCACUCUUAGAGCAGGCAUUAAAACUUCCUUUUCCUCUUUUGUUUGGAGGGAACUCUCCUCUGUUGCAGGCUAAGAAAGGCUAGAUGUGUCCUUCCAGGCAACGUACAGGGUCUUUCCCUUUUCCCUAUUCUCUCCUGUGUGUACCAUGAGAUUCUAUAAAGGGGCAUUUAUAGAGGCCAUUGAAUCCACUAGUCUGAGAUGCCAAGACCUUUAUUUUUCACUUGGGAGUAGGCAGUGUAAAGGUGCACAACCUGACUGGCUAAUGUAAGAUAAUAGUCAGGACUCUAUCCUUCCUUAGAAGACCUGGGUUGUUAGAGUUGUCUUCUUGUGACCUCAUUCCUGCAGCCACUGUACCUUCUCCUCAAAGUAGUGAACUCUGCAUAUGGCUUCAACUUUUAUUCUAUAGCUGGGCCUUUCUGCAGCAACUGCAGCUUACUAUGUAGAUGUGUCUCCAGUUAAAAGCUUAGUAAGUCUAUAUAACUUGUCAUAAUUUUAGCACUUUACCUUAUUAAGGUAUAUGUUUUCAUUAUCUGAUUUACAAAAGUACCAUAUAAAAACCUACCUAUGCUAUAUAAUUGCUGAAACACUGAGUAAGCUCUGCUUUUUAUGACCAAGUUAUGGGAUGAGUAAUUACUCUCUAGAGUGAAUGGUUCAAAAUGAAAUAACUAUAUGCCUAAGGUGUGAUGUGACACCAGAUGUAUUUAAGCCCCAAAGGUGUGUAAUUAUCUCACUACUCUUGCACAUACACACAAGUACAUUUAUGCUUAUGGUAAGUUUUAUGUGCAAAAGAAAACUCACUUCUGAAAAGUGAAGGAACAGAACAGUCCGUUAUUGAGAGGCUCAGAGGUUGUUUAGUGUUAGAAGUACUGUUUUAGUCCCUCCUGACAAAAUCCUACCUCACUGGAUUCUACAGGAAACCAGCAUCAAAUUGUGGAUUUCAAGUGUUAAGGCUAAUGUACAGAUUUUCUCAAAGCACCAUGUUUAUAAUUUAUAGUCUGCUGCCGUGUACUCAGUGACUUGUUAAAUAUUCCAUUGUUGGACUCUAUUUUGAUCAUCAGGUGUGUUAAUUAAAAGCAUUAAAAUGAUGUACUCUGGUUUCUUACUGAAAAUAAAAACUUACAGUCUCCUUAAAUUUUUAAUUUUGCAUAUAGGUUAUCUGUCUAAUCUCUUUCUAUAGAUCCUGAAUAAUUAAACAUAGUACCUCAAGCUGAUUUUUCCUCUCUAGUUUUAAUUCAGUGUUAAAAUGCUGUUUGAAUCACAUUAAAAAUAUAUUUUAUCACAAUUCUACCAGUCCCAUUGUGUUAACUGUGCUCCUAUCUAAUGGUAUAAAGUGAUCAGGUUACAUCAGUUUCCGCCAGCAAAUGACCAGACACUGUAUUUUGGGGAUUUGGUUGGUAGUUAUGACUUAGCUCCCUGUUAAGCCUAGGAGAUGAAAAUUUCCUUAGCGUGGAGACCAGUGCAGGCCCAUAGUGGCUGCUAGGUCUUCCCUUGAGCCAGAGAAAGGCGAAUUGAGAUGCUGCUGGCUUUGGGACUCACAAGUAAAAUAGCAGUUGAUGGUAGCUUACCUUACCUGUUUACAGUGUGAUUCUCUUGGGAAGUUUUUUUUUUUUUUUUUUUUUUUUUUUUAAAUACAGUAUUUAAAAACUAUUUCUGUUUCGCGGGAGGCAAAUGUUUGCUUAGUUUUGAAACAACAAUACAAAACAUUUACAGCUUUAAAUUCUUAAAAAUGCAAUUUACAGGUAACUUGUGAACAAUAAAAUUCAUAUGCUAUGCUAACAUCAGUAUGUUGGGACACAACCACUGUAUCAAGCAUCAGUCUAUUCAGUGAAGAGAAGUGAAUUUCACUUUGUUUAUAUGUGUGUCCUCUGAUGGGGUAGCUGCUAGCCACAUGUGUGACUACAUUUGGAAUGCACGGAGGUGUGCUGAAAGUGUGUGAGGCAGGCACCAGAUUUUGAAGGCAGCACAGUUAAAGGAAGCAUGUGAAAUAUAUUGUCAGUAAUUUGUUGAAAUGGUGAUCUUUUGGGUAUUUGAGUUCAAUAAUGUAUAUUAAUUUCAUCUGUUUGUUUUUACCUUUUUUAGUGUGGCUACUAGAAAACUCAAAAUUACAUGUGCAGCUCACAUUUUUCUUUUAGUGCUGGUUUCUGGACCCUGUGGUCUCAUAAGAAGUUCUUUCUGCUUAGGUAUACAUUUUAGCUGUGAUUUGGUUAUAUAAUUUGAUUAUAACUUUUUGCCAACCAUAAAUUUGAGUACCUUGUAGUGAUUCUUAAACCAUGGUUCCAAGACACUGUUCUUAAAUUGCUCUUUGUGGAUUAUUUAGGACUGUUUUUCAGUCUUAAGUUUCUAAGGUAGAAGAACCAUCUGCCAAUUGAUUAUUUUGUAGAUUUGAAACUUCAUUGGCUAAGUUAUUUCCAAUAAUUUAAGAAUCUAAAUCCAUUUUAUCUUCUUAGAGGAGCUCAGUGGAUUGGUUAUGAUAUUUAAAAUUGAGAUUUUAUUUCUAGGUAAGGUAUACAUUGAGAGCUAAAAUUAUAUUUACUUUCAAAAAUAGUUCCUUAGAAACUUACAGGCCUUGGGGUGCCUGGGUGGCUCAGUUGGUUAAGCAUCCAACUUUGUCUCGGUCAUGAUACCGCGGUCCAUGAGUGUGAGCCCCAUGUGGGGCUCUGUGCUGACAGCUCAGAGUCUGGAGGCUUCAGAUUGUGUGUGUGUGUCUCUCUCUGCUCCUCUCCCGUUCACUCUCUGUCUCUCUCAAAAAUAAAUAAACAUAAAAAUUAUUAAAAAAACCUAUUGGCUAUAAAAAAUUUAUAAAUAAGAAACCUGUUGGCUUUGUAAUAAUGUAAGGAAACUGCCUUAAAAGGUUUGAUUUUGCAUAUGAAGACAGAAGGAUGGGGUUUCCUUGCGUUUCAGAGUGUUUUUUGGAUUUUAUUGUCUACUGAAAAAAAAAAAAAGGGAGGGGGGACAGACCAACAUAAGAUGGCCAGUUCUUUGUUUUGUAGUUUUCAUAGUGUGGUCCCUGGUUUAGUAGCAUCAGCAUCAACUGGAAAUUUCUUGGAAAUGCACAUUCUUCUCUUUCACUCCAGAUGCACAGACUGGGAAACGCUGGAGGUGGGGACCAGAAUCUGGAUUUUGAUAUGCCCUCCAGGAAUGCUUCCCAUAGACUGAACCCGGAGAAAAGCCAGGUGACCUGGGAGCCUGAGAAAUGAUGUCUGCAGUGAUCAACUUUCCUGAGCUAAGGAACUCUCAAAGUAUGUAUCUGUAGGAAUAGGCCUAGGACUGGCACGUUUAGUAUUUAUACUUCAAAACAAAACAAUAUUUUGAUAUAAUUAAAAAAAUUUUUUUUUUGAGAGAGAGGGGAGGGUGCAAGUGAGUGAGGGGACAGAGAGAGAUGGAGAGAGAGAAAAUCCCACGAGGUGGGGGGUGGGGAGAGAGAGAGAGAUUGGGGGAGAGAGAGAGAGAGAGAGAGAGAGAGAGAGAGAGAGAGAGAGAAGCAGGGCUCACCUGAAGCAGGGCUGGUGCUCACCCGAUGUGGGACUUGAACUCAUCAACUGUGAGAUCAUGACCUGAGCCGAAGUCAGAUGCUUAAUUGAGUCACCCCUGUGCCAAUAAUUAAAAAAUUUUAAGGCAUUUUAAUACCAAAAAAUAAUCUCACAAUAGAGGACAUCUUCUUAAUUGGGAUAAAUUUGGCUUUAUUUUUUUAUUUUUAUUUUUAAAAAAUUUUUAAUGUUUACUUUCGAGAGAGAGAGAAUGUGAGUGGGGGAGGAGCAGAGAAAGGAAGACACAGAAUCCAAAGCAGGCUCCAGGCUCCAGGCUCCGGGCUGUCAGCACAGAGCCUGAUGUGGGGCUCGAACUCAUGAACUGUGAGAUCAUGACCUGAGCCUAAGUUGGACACUUAACCAACUGAGCCACCCAGGCACCCCUAAAUUUAGCUUUAUGAACACACACAUAUCCUUUUAUAAUUUUAUUGAUGGCCAGGGAAGUGUUUUCAGGGAUCAGCAUCUGUAAGUGUGGGAAACAUUGCCAUAUACCUUUGAAAGACUUAUUUUGCCCCUACUCUAGAACUUACUUUAAUCCUCUUCUUAUUUGAAGGGCUACAAAGCUGUCCUUGAUUGUUAGCACUGUUGUGUGGCAAAUGUGGGAAAUUUGUUUCAUCAGUUUCUCUGCCAGCUGUCCUGGAAUAUCCUGGAUGUUUUUCUUUUCAUAUUUCCCUUUUUCAUUUGUUUCUUAGAGUGUAGUUCUUCCUUUGUGUUAUGUCCUCUUUGCCUGCAGUAUUUACAUUUCUCCCCUUGAAUUUUCCAGCCUUCUCUCUUCUCCCUGUUUCUUUUGCUGUUUCAGCUUUGAUUAAACUGUAGUUGAUAGGAAAAGGGUAAUUACAGUGAUAGGCCUAUAACAAGGAAAAUGCAAGUUUCAGAUUUUCAAAGUAAAGUUAGAAAUUGUGUCUUGAACCUUUUAAGCCCUUGAAAGGAUCCUGAAGAUGCCCUCAGAAUCCAUGCAGAAAGUCAUGCAUUUCCUUAUCCUUCUAAAUGAAUGUGUUUUUUCUUCCCAGACAGCGGUAUUUAACUAAUAUUUGAAACAGUAUUGUUUUAUACUGUUUAUAACAAAUGGAAGCUAAGAAGCUAACCACAGUUUCCCUCCUUGAGGGGAACUGUGUUCUGAAUUCCAAUAGACUGUUUUAGAUAGAAUCCAAUUAUGUGUUUAAUGGUCCAAAAUCCAAUCUAAUAUUUCUGAAUGCAAAUGAGUCUAGAAUAUCUGUUUUUCUUAUAUUUGAAAGAUCUGUGCUUUUUCUUCACUGACUUUCUUAUAUACACAUUUCGUAAGUUAAGAAAAAAAGUUGUAGGUUAAGUAAGGAAUGGGUAUAGUUUUCAUUUAACUUCUGAGUUUUUUAAAAUUUUUUAAAUGUUUAUUCAUUUUUGAGAAAGAGAGAGAGCGGGCGGGGAAAGGGCAGAGAGAGAGGGAGACACAGAGAGAGAGAGAGAGAGAGAGCGGGCGGGGAAGGGGCAGAGAGAGAGGGAGACACAGAAUCCGAAGCAGGCUCCAAGCUCUGAGCUGUCAGCACAGAGCCUGACAUGGGGCUUGAACUCAUGAAGUUGGACGCUUAACCCACUGAGCCACCCAGGCCCCCUUAACUUCUAAGUUUUUAUAAUAGCGAAUGCUUCCAAUUAAGGCAUUGAAAUGGGGGAGUUAUAUUUCAUGAGGUCUGGUGGAAGACCAGAGCUGUUUUGUGUGAAAGGUGCUGAGUGGGAUGCUUCUGGAGCAGUACUUCCAAUCUCUUUUACUUCAGAACACACUGAAAGUAAUACUUUGUACAGGACAUGGGGAUAGGAGGUUUUAAACUACAGACAAGCUGCCACUGGACUGGUAGCCCCAGAUGGCUGCCCCAAGAGGUGAGAUAUCAGUAUCUUAAAACUUUCAGCUCUCAUAUUGGGAAGUUCUGCUCUAUAGAGGGCAUUCAGGAGGUCCUAGUCUUGUGAAGAGCUCAAUAUUUACAAGUUAUAACGCAAACAUAUAGUGUUAAGUUAUGAUAGUAUUAUUUGGUGAAAUAGUAAGAAUGGAGGUUAGAUCUGUUUGAGGUGGAAAGGAUCUAGUAAAGGUUCUGUAGAGGGGGUGGUGCAUGGAAGGAAUUAUCUUGUGCAAAGGUAGAGUGGGAGCAAAGGGCAGAGGGAACUUGGGGUCUGCCAAGGAUUUCUGAUGUGGUUGGAGGGUAAGAUUUGGGGAUGCAAAUAGGAAGCAGGAUAGUGGGAAUUACUGUUAAGAAAGUAGGCUGCGGUUGGCUUCAGGAGGGCCUUUAUGAGAUUGAAUGAGCUCAUGACUUUGGGCAACACUGGUGGUGACACUUCCCCUAUUCCUUUUAGGAAAAUCCUUCUGGGGCAGUGUAGAGUGAACUGAAGCCUGCAAGCUGAUACAUCCCUCGGGAGGGAAAGACAUUGAUCCAGGCUAGAUGAGGGAUAAUAAAGGCUUGCACUUUAUUAUUGGCGAAUAGAGGUUGAAAGUGCUUCUUGAAGUGGGAACCCCAAAUUCUGCUUAUUGAUAAGGAGAAAGGUGACUCACAUUUGGAGUCUGGUUGAAGGAAAGGAUGACUCAAGACUAUUUUCAGAAUUAGAGUCUUGUAUAGGCGACAAGGAACUUGAUUUUGGACAUGGGGAUUUUAAGAUGCUUGCAGAGAAGUAAGUGUUAACGUUUAUAAAAUGCUAGGUUCUGAUCUAAGCACAUUUUAAAACUCCUUCUAUUCUCAUAAUAGCCAUAAAAAAGUACGUGUUAUCAGUUAGUGUCCAGUCAGGAAAAUAAAGCGCACGGAAUGUUUUAAGCACCGAAGGGUUUAAUGCAGGAAAUUGGUUACAGUGGUAUUGGAAGAGCUGGAGGAACAAAAAGAAAAAGGUGUGUGUUGGAGCAAAAAGGAGAAGGGAACAAAGAGGAGGAGAAAGGAGAGGAGGAGAGAGUAAGUGCGUGCGUGCGUGUGUGUGUGUGUGUGUGUGUGUGUGUAGAUGAAUGUUGGAGGAACAAAAAGGAGAAGGAAAUGUUAAUCAGUUGUCAGCUGCUGCAUAAACUGUAUGCUCUACAGAUUUGCUGGAGAUCUUCAUUGGUUCUGCUGCUUUGGAACCCCCACAGAUGCUGCUGGAGCCUCUGGCUGUCUGUGGCUGCUUGUGGAGGUACCACCAGGAACAGGAAACAAAGACAUUUUUCUUGCUCUCACCUUGGAAUCUCCUGCCACCAUAUCCAAGAGGAAGGUAGUUGGUAAAGGGAGUUUGGAAAAUACAGUUUAUAGAUUUCCAGCUCCUAUGUAAUAAUAGAGAAGAGAAGAGAACCAACAGAAAAAUAACCAGCACAGUGGGUACUGUUUUUAUCCUUAUAUUACAGGUGUGGAGACCAAGUCAUGGGAGAAGGUCACACAGAUACAGCUUGGCAGAGUUGAGAUGUGGAUGUAGGUAGUCUGGUUUCAGAGUGUGUGCUCUUAGCCUCUGCACUUUGAUCUUGCCUCCACACAUGGUUAUUAUUUGCUUUUUCUCCUUAUUGCUGAGCACUUCAAAUGAGCAGCUGUUUCCAUUGAUUUUGCUUAUCCUGCACUUACUUUUCUUUGAUAUCUCUUACUGGCAACAGUUUUUCACCUCAACCUCUGGAACCUGUCUUCUGGUCCCUAUUGAUUUUAUAGCUAAUAUAAUGGGUUAUUUCAGUUUCUAUUUGUCUUUAAUCUAUUUCUGACUUUUGAUACGGAUGGAUACCUAUUUAUAUGGGAUUCCAACCUUGAUUUCUAUGAUGCUGACUUGCUUUAUUUUCCCCUUAUCUCACUGAGGCUCUUUGGUUUUUUUCUUUUUCUUCCCAUUCCUUAAACCAUUGCCAUAUCUUGCCUUGAGUUUGGAUUUUAGUGUAUUAUAAGAAGCUGCUUAAUGUUAAUUUUAUAUUUAAAUCAGGACCAAUAAAAUCUUCAUGUAUACAGUUCUUAUGACCUUUUUCCUUUGUGUGUUAUGAAGUCAGACAAGUCAGAGCAGGGUUUCAAUUUGUGUUCUGCCCUGGGCAAGGAGGAAGAGAGUAGGAUGACUGAAGGAGACAGUCUCACUCUGAGUAUCUACUAUGUACCAGCACUGUGCUAAGUGCUUCAAAUGUGUUGCUUCAUUUAAGUUCUCCUGUGUGAGAUUGCUUGUUUGUUACCCUUAUUUACAGAUGAAGAAACUAACUCUUUGUGAUGAACCAGUAAUAGAACUGGGGUUGAAACCCUCAUCUGAUUUGCUCUGACAGCCAGAUUCUUUCCUCUGGACCACCUGGGAGAAGCUCCCACUUUCUUAUCUGUUAAGUGAAGAAACUGGGCAAGAUCAGUUUUAAGGCCCAUUUCAGUAUCAUCGUUCUGAUUUUGUCACAAACUAGUGUCGCAAGCAGUAGUUGCUUCUCGUAUUGAAAGAGGAAGUUGCCUUCCCACUCCACGAAACAUCCUGUUUUAUUAAGAUCAAGAGUACUAAUGUGUUAUUUGUAAAAGUUAUGAAGUAGGGCACAGGCAUUUAAAGUAGUCAUGAUGAUAGAUCUUCAUGUAAGUUGCAAGAGAGCCCCAUUACCUCCAAAUGAGGCUGCUGCCUAGAACAUUAGAGGCUGUGGCUUUUAUUGACAGGUGCUCAGAAUAAUAGCUUUGGAACAACUCCAGUCUAAACAAAAGGGCAAUCCAGUUAUUCCAUUAUACUUUAUGCUGAAAGCAUGUGCUUCCAGAUUAAGAAUCCCUUUCUUUGGAUGGAAUUUAGUGUGAGAUUUGCAAGAAGAUAGUGCAAAAUACAUUUUAAAGAUAAGGUUCACUGUAAUAUGGUUUGAUUUCUUUAUAAAGCCAGUGGACAACCCUAAAAUGGUUAACUGUCAUGUGAUUCAUCCAUGUCUUGCCAUCAGACAUGCAGAUAGAUGGUUUAAGUGGAUACCAACAUCCUCUCUUGAUAUAAAAGACCCAUUAUAAAAUACUCAUCUAAGUAUUCCUACACACACACACACACACACACACACACACACACACACACCAUUAGGAUAAGUGCGUUUUGGAGCACCUGGGUGACUCAUUCUGUUAAGCGUCUGACUAUUGAUUUCAGCUCAGGUCAUGCCUGAUCUCAUGGUUUGUGAGUUCGACCCCUGUGUCAAACCACGCUUCGGGCCCACACUGACAAUGCAGAGCCUGCUUGUGAUUCUCUCUCUCUUCUCUCUGUCUGUGCCUCCCUAUCUUCCUCCCUCUUCCUCUCUCUCAAAAUAAAUAAAUAAGCUGAAAAAAAAAUAGAGUGUUUCCAGAUUCCGUAGAAUUUAUCUUCUUUACUCAUAAACAUCCUCCAGCCCUCCCUCAUUCAUGUUUUAUUUUGUAAAAAUGGGAAAUUGAAAGGUUUAUACCUCUGUUUUUAACUUUUAGUUUUAUUGACUUUGCCUGCUUUAGAGGAAGCCUGCAGGGGAAUCUCGGCUCCCUGGCCACUCCUUCCUUUGGUUUAGGUGGUUGGUUCUUCCUUUAGCAAACCUCUAACUAUAUGUGUCCCCGGCACCUGAGGCUGGGCUAUUUUCUCCUACGUAGGUGAUACCAAUCACCCCCAAAUUCUUCUAUGCUACCAAGUGAUGAUUACUACCCAAUUUUGGUUUCCAGGUCUGACUGCUCUCCUGGUUGCUUAUUUACUUCUUAAGUCUAUUUAGAUUUGGUGGGAAUUUCAUGCCAUACAUUGGAAUGUAACAUAUUUUAUCGAUUAUAUUAAUGAACUUAACUAUUUUAUUUUUUUAUUAAAAAAUUUUUUUUAAUGUUUAUUUUUGAGACAGAGAGAGACAGAGUGUGAGUGAGGGAGGGGCAGAGAGAGAGGGAGACAUAGAAUCCGUAAGAAACUAUAUCACAGCUGUGCACAAACAUACAUUACUAUAAAUAAUAGGAACCAAAGUUUCACAAAGACAGUAAUUACCUUUAAAAGAUGACAUACUUGAUGUUUUCAAAAGCAUUCAGUUUCAUUUCAUUAAAAGAUGUUCUCUGUGACCCACAUCUACCUCAUUAAUGGUUUGUGACCUACUAUUUGAAAAACACUGUUCUUGAGCCACUAGAUGUGUUAGAGAUACUUCAAGUUGAGGAGAGUCUGUCCACAUAUUUGGGGACCAUAAAUAUUUAGAGUGCAAUACAUCAUUAUGAAAGAAGGCUUGAACAGAUUCCUUGUUUUUCCCUAUUUCAGGAAGCCAAAAGUUUCUUGUACUGCUCUUCUUGGGGUCACUGAUAAUCCAACCACUAGUUGGUUGACCCUCCUAGGAAACUGUAUUUCUGACCUUUCCCUGUAUGAGCAAGAUCUGGAUAAAUGGAAUUACUAAUGGCUUUAAAAAGCUAUGAAAAUGCAACCAAUUAGAAUUCCCAGGUACAAAACAAAUGUCUGGCCCACAUAUAUUAUAUACAUAUAUAUAUUUUUUUUCCUUCAAAUGCUUAAGAGAUUUUGAUAUCCCAGAUCAAUACAUGUUUGUUCCAAGUGAAUCACUGACUUUCAGAUACCUGAGGUAAAUCAUAUUCUGGUUUCAAUUUGUCUCUUUUUCCCCUGAGGUUCAUGAUGAAGAGCUCUGUUUUCUUUAACACCUGCCUACUUGGCAGCUCUGACACUUGCUUGAAAAAAGUUGUUAAAAUGAGGAAGCUUAUUUCCUCUAAUUUGACUGCAUCCUUCUUUCCCCACCCCACAGAGGGCAAUGCACACAGGAAAGGUGUUUGAUCAGAGUCCACUGAGGCGGACCAAGUUGAAAAGAGUUAUUAUAGGCAACAACCCCAGUUUAAAAGGUUAUCCCAUAUAAGAGUGAUCAUGUAAAUUCCUCAAGAGAUUCAGUAUGGAAUCAGAGCUAGCUUUCGGUUCAGAAUUGUUUAUUAGUUAGAAUUGGUAAGGAUACUCUCAGUCACCUACAGACAUGUGGAAAUUGUCGGAUUAUAUACUACCUGGUUUGAAUAUAUCUAUAACAGAACUCGCUAUAAUAAGAUUUUAUAGGUACUUACCUUGCACGCUUCUGCUAAGCUCACAGAAGGUUGACUAAUCCAAUGUUCUCAAAAGCCUCUUCUCUGAUCCAAGAGUGUUUGCAUAUUUUAGACCCAACAUUUAUUCUAAUAAAGCUUCAGGAAAUAGCUUGUAUCAUGCUGAAGAAAUUUACAGUUGGCACAGUGACUUACUGGUUGGUUAGUUGACCUAUAGGGAUUAUGCAGGGAUGGGGGGAGCUCUUAGCUGUGCUACGAUGGACCUAAAAAUACUGUGCUUAAUAAUAUGAACAUUGCAGAAGUUUAAGUCAUUCCUGAGGGAAGUUCAUACAUGUUUAAAGAUUAUUACAAAUACACAGUCUUAUUUAACAUUUUGGUGUUAACUUUAGAAGCCAGGAUUUUUAAAUUGUAAAGCAUCUUUUCCAUCUUUUUGAAUUCAAAAGCACAAUAGCACAUUGUUUAACAACCACCUCUAUAUUUGAAGGGAACCUCAUUUCAAAAUUGCAAGUCAGUGGGGUUUUUUGCAUUUUCAUUUUUUUAAAGUUUAUUUUAUUCAUUCUUAGAGAGAGUGGGUGUGUGUGCACAUGAGUGGGGUAAGGGGAGAGAGAGAGAGAAAGAGAGAAUCCCAGGCAGGCUCCGCAUUGUCAGUGCAGAAGCCUGACCCAGGGCUCGAUCCCAUGAACCAUGAGAUCAUGACCUGAGCUGAAAUCAAGAGCCAGUCACUUAACUGAAUGAGCCACCCAGGCGCCCCUUCAUUUGCGAGUAUUAGUAUUAUGUCAAAGAUCCAAAAAGUAUGUUUCAUUGGCUAAAUCUGACCUGCCACCAGUUUUUAUGUAGCAUGCAGAACGAAGAUUGGGUUUUAUGUUAUUUUAAUAGUUGGAGGAAAAAAAAUCAAAAGAAUAAUGUUUUGUGACAUAUGAAAAUUACAUGAAAUUUAAAAUUCAGGGUUCAUAAAUAAAAUUUGAUUGGAACAUAUUUGUGCUUAUUAUUUUGCAGGUUGUCUUUGCUGCUUUUGUGGUACAAGGGCAGAAUUGAGUAGUUGUGACAGAGAUUUUUAUGGCCUGCAAAACCUAAAAUAGAAAAAGUCGUUUACUGAAAAAGUUUCCUUGUCUCUGGCCUAUACAUUUCCUGGCCUUUUGGAAUGUAACAUAUUUUAUCGAUUAUAUCAAUGAACUUAACUUUUAUUUUUUUAUUAAAAAAAUUUUUUUUAAUGUUUAUUUUUGAGACAGAGAGAGACAGAGUGUGAGUGAGGGAGGGGUGGAGAGAGAAGGAGACAUAGAAUCCAAAGCAGGCUCCAGGCUCUGAGCUGUGAGCACAGAGCCAGACGCAGGGCUCGAACCCAUCGACCACGAGAUCGUGACCUGAGCCGAAGUCAGACACUCAACCAACCGACCGAGCCACCCAGGCGCCCCUGAACUUAACUAUUUUAAAAGAUUCCAUUGUGGAAUGUCAUGUUCAUAAACGUAGGUAAUAACAAGGGUUUGGGGUUAAAAACAGGAAUUUGUUUCUGUGGAAAUAAUUCCUAGACCAGCUUCUUGGGUGGGGAAUGAAUGACUUGCCGAAUUUUGAAAAAUGGCAAAUUUUGAGAAAUGGCAGUUAUAAGGGUAUGACACAGAAAUAUAGCAGUGGUUGAUAUAGUUGCUGUAAUAAAAGUGGAAUAUUUUAAACUUUGUUCACAUUUGACAGCUUCUAUUUUUGAGGUAUCUCAAAUACAUUUUGUAUGAUCACCUCCAUUUCACCCCUCCCUUGUGUGCUUUUAUUUUAAUCCAGCGAAGCCAGCCUCACAGUAAACAGUGUGAUUAUAUUCUCUUCUAACACUUAGUGGUUUUUGGUACUUAAGUUUGUCUAAUGGGCCCAUCACUAAAAGUCAGAGUCAUUUCUCUCUGCUGCCUUGAUAGAGAGCAUGUGGGUUUGCGUGGGGCUGCCUUGCAACACAGCACUGAGUUGUAGUGUGCAGAAAAGCUGUUCUCUUGAUCCACUACACCUGGCAGUCCCCGGGCAGGUGUGUCUAAGAUGAGGAUGUUUUCAAUGUACUUUCGUUCCUCUUCAAUACGGUGCCUCAGACCCCAAGACCUAUCUCUUACUUGUGUUAGGCAUCACCUCUUACCUCCCUUAACCCUUAUAGUGAGCCAGAGGAAGAGGGUUGUUUGUGUUUUUGUGGACUCUUUUGGGCAGUGCAGUGUACUAGCCUGCCUUCCCUCACCAUCUUUGUGUAUCUGAUUUGAUGGAGCCGUAGCAGUGGCCCAUUCUAGUGUGCUCCAGCAAGACCCUGCUUAUCUGUAAGCCUAAAACGUAGGGUAUUUUCUACACUUUUGAAAAAAAAAAAAUAUCACAAGCUGACUAAGCAAAAAAAAAAAAAAAAAAAAAAAAAGCACUCUAAAAAGUCCGGCCCUAUUUUCCUCUUACCUAAUUAGGAGACCCUAAAUCCUCCUUUACAAUCUGUAUUUCUUCUUAAGAGAUCAUUUUAGAAAGUCUGACUGUUUCCCUUUCUAGUUAACAGUGUAUUUGAAGGAGAUGUGGAAGAGGGGAAAGAAGGGUAAGCUCCAUAUAGGCAGGUUAGCAUCCAAGAGUGCCAGCUUGAGAAAGUGAUAGUUUGAGAAAGUAAAACCUUAAAAAAAAAAACAAAAAAAAAAAGAUUCAAGAACUCACCAAAAGCAUUUUGAGGCCAUUUGGUGUGAGACCAAAGCCCCCAACACCUCACUCUUCCUUGAAGAAUCACUGUGCUAUUGCUUACUGAUCUUCUUGAGUCCUCUACUUGAGUCAGUUCUGUUUACCAAGCAUAUUACACACUCUCUCCUCAUAACAGCUCCAUCAUGCAAGAACUGUUGUAUCAACUCUUACAUUUAUUUUGUAGCUGAGAAAAGUGAGAGAUUUUUUUCUCUAGCUUUUCCAAGACUCAUUAUUGAGCAGGGGAGCUAGCAUAUGAAUCUUGGUAGUCGGAUUCCAGAGUUCGUGCCUUUCCCAUAAUCUCCAGUCCCCAGAAGAGAACAGGCCAGAGCACAGGGAGGCAGUAUAAUAUAGUGGUUAGACUUUCUAGCUUCAGAUUGUAGUUCUGUUACUUUCUGAUUUUUUUAACUAAUGUUCAUUGCCUCUGUUUCUGUAUUUAUAAAAUAUUGCACUGGAUUUUAAAGUUGUUUGUACUUACAUCAUAGGGUUAUUGUGAGGAUUCAGUGAGACUUUGUAUGUAAAUAACGCAGUGCCCAGCACAUAUUAAGAGCUCGGAACACGUUAGCUACUAUACUUUAUAUAAAAUACAGU